GUUUAUUUACAAUCUUCUACAAAUCAAAGAGGCCACCACAUGGGCUAUUCAUUCAAGCAAAAAAACACAAAAUAAUUGCAUACAAACUAAAGAGGCAUUUUAGCACUCAAACAAAAGAUCCUAUCCAACAAAACCACAACUUCUACAAAAAUAAACCCAAGUCUAACAAACAAAAAACACACUAUCUUAAUCUAACCAAAAAACACGGGUAUCAAGGCAAAAGUCUGGAGUCUGGGAAAAAACAAAGGGUGCUGCUGUCAGAGAGGCUCCCCUCAUCACUGCCUGCCGCCAAGAUUUAAAAUGGUUGACAGCCAAUCAGCGCUAGGUCCGCCUUGCCACCAAUCAGCUCCUGCACACAAAGAUCCACAGACAAACACAACACCCACUACAAACCAACAGGACGAACAGACCACUUACACAGAAAACAAGGACGAGAGAAAGAUCUACAGACAAACACAGAACACCCACUCCCAGACAACAAAACAAUUCAAAACGACAAACACAACAUUACCAAAAUACGGCCACAGCCGUAACAGUGCCAUAUGAUGAAAUAAUGUAAAAGAGGCCGUGAAAAACACUCCAGAAAGGUUUUCUUUGAAAAAAAAAAUCAUCAUGAAUUUUGGCGCAAAAAAAACGCCUUACUAUACUAUGUCGAAAAAAAAUGCAAUUUUUCAAACAUGUUGUAAAAACGUGUCAUAUGAUGAAAUAAUGUAAAGGAGGCCGUGAAAAACACUCCAGAAAGGUUUUCUUUGAAAAAAAAAUCAUCAUGAAUUUUGGCGCAAAAAAAAACGCCUUACUAUACUAUGUCGAAAAAAAAUGGGAUUUUUCAAACAUGUUGUAAAAACGUGCCAUAUGAUGAAAUAAUGUAAAGGAGGCCGUGAAAAACACUCCAGAAAGGUUUUCUUUGAAAAAAAAAUCAUCAUGAAUUUUGGCGCAAAAAAAAACGCCUUACUAUACUAUGUCGAAAAAAAAUGGGAUUUUUCAAACAUGUUGUAAAAACGUGC
ensembl:lncRNA